rnacentral:misc_RNA from 1 species
GGAAGGAUCAUUACUGAGUCGUCGACACGAGUUGUUGCUGGUCCCCACAUGGGGGCAUGUGCACGCUCUGUUUACACAUCCACUCACACCUGUGCACCCUCUGUAGUUCUAUGGUCUGGGGGACCCUGUCUUCCUUCUGUGGUUCUGCAUCUUUACACACACACUGUAAUAAAGUCAUAUGGAAUGUACACCGCGUUUAACGCAAUACAAUACAACUUUCAGCAACGGAUCUCUUGGCUCUCGCAUCGAUGAAGAACGCAGC